rnacentral:rRNA from 1 species
AAUAUUGGACAAUGGGGGCAACCCUGAUCCAGCCAUGCCGCGUGUGUGGAGAAGGUCUUCGGUUUGUAAAGCACUUUAUGUUCGGUGGAAGGGCUAUAGGCUAAUACCCUGAAGUUUGGACGUUACCAACAGCAUAAGCACCGGCUUACUCUGUGCCAGCAUCCGCGGUAAUACAGAGGGUGCAAGCGUUAAUCGGAAUUACUGGGCGUAAAGCGCGCGUAGGUGGUUCAGUAAGAUGGGUGUGAAAUCCCCGGGCUUAACCUGGGAACUGCUUUCAUAACUGCUGGGCUAGAGUACGGUAGAGGGUAGUGGAAUUUCCUGUGUAGCGGUGAAAUGCGUAGAUAUAGGAAGGAACACCAGUGGCGAAGGCGACUACCUGGACUGAUACUGACACUGAGGUGCGAAAGCGUGGGGAGCAAACA